rnacentral:rRNA from 1 species
UACGUAGGGUGUAAGCGUUGUCCGGAAUUAUUGGGCGUAAAGAGCUCGUAGGCGGUCUGUCGCGUCUGCUGUGAAAACCUGGGGCUUAACCCCGGGCCUGCAGUGGGUACGGGCAGACUAGAGUGUGGUAGGGGAGACUGGAAUUCCUGGUGUAGCGGUGAAAUGCGUAGAUAUCGUAAGGAAGACCAGUGGCGAAGGCGGGUCUCUGGACAGUUCCUGACGCUGAGGCACGAAGGUCAGGGGAGCAAACGGG